rnacentral:rRNA from 1 species
UACGUAGGGGGCAAGCGUUGUCCGGAUUUAUUGGGCGUAAAGAGCGUGUAGGCGGUUUGGUAGGUCCGCUGUGAAAACUCGAGGCUCAACCUCGAGACGCCGGUGGAAACCAUCAGACUAGAGUCCGGAAGAGGAGAGUGGAAUUCCUGGUGUAGCGGUGGAAUGCGCAGAUAUCAGGAGGAACACCAACGGCGAAGGCAGCUCGCUGGGACGGUACUGACGCUGAGGCGCGAAAGCGUGGGGAGCGAACAGG